UCUUUACUCAUGAUUUCCACUGCAGGGUUUUACCCCUUGAAAUCAACAUUCAACAACGUCUGAAGGUGGUGGGGGAAAAGCUACUGAUCGAGGGUUCCCGAAAAUCCUACAGAAGAAGUAUUGAUCAUGGUGAUUGCUUCCGGUGUGUUUCCCUCCACUAUAAUCUUUCUAAUUCCUAAAUUCCAUAGCUCCCCAAAAGCUCUGCAUGUAGGGGUGUGCAAUCCCCAAUAUGAUACCAAUAGCCCCCCAACCAAUUUCCGGAAGGAUGCCUCCACAGCCAGCACUAUUAGUGUUGUUUUGUAUUUAUGAAUAACUAAUACAGGGUGAUCAUUAUUUCUCCAAGACCAGAGGAACCAACUCCAGACAAAAAAGAUGGAAAUGGGAUCAUACCCGUCAAGGAAUGACCAAUUUCUAAUCAGGCAGGCAGGCAGGACUUGAGCCAGUCUGAAUCUUGAAGAAGGACACCAUUGGCAGUUAGCACUUCCUCCAGUCCAGAUGGUUUAUAUGCGAGCUCUGGUAGGCAACCGAUUAAGUAGCACUAACCAGAUGAAAGUCUUUAUUCUUUGUGGGGCCCCUUCCACUUCCACAAAAGACUCCAGAUGUUAUCCGAGGCUUUCGUGUCUCUGCCUCACGGAGGCUUUUAAUUUCAACAAAAGAGCUCAAACUGGUUCUAAAUCAGACAGCAUUCUCUUUCUCGAAAAAGCUCUUUUGUGCUGCAAUGAACCCACUCGCUGAAACUCCUCAUCGCUGAGUUCAUCGUAGCAAUUACUUGGCAGAAGCGGAGAAGGGUAGACUUCCGAAGCUCGGCCAAAUUGGGUGAGGAGGGCGAUGGAGAGGACCAAACCCAGGACGAACAUAGGGCCAAUCCCACUUUUGCUAAAGAUUUAUGAGAGGAGGAGGAUUGUGACAAUGGAGAUGAAGAGGGCUUUCAUUGAUCUUUUCAUUUUCAGAACUCUAUCAUGUGCUGCUACGAUGGAGCUUUUGAUUGGGGUGAAAGACAGUGGAAGGAGGAGCACUAGCGCAACCAGAAAAUUCAAUCACAUGGUUAACCUUUUUAUCUUUUGAAAGUGCAUGCAAACGUUCAUGAUGAGCAUAAGCAUGAGUCCAUUAAUAAAUGCUUCACAAGAUUUACAAGCAUCAUACAAUCCCAAGAAGUGUUUUGCGAGAUUCCAACAGCCUAUUCAUUUGUUGCGCUAGUGCUUCUCCUUCCACCGUCUGCCACCCCCAGUCAAAAGCUCCACUAUAGCAGCACAUGACAGUUCUGAAAAUUAAAAGAUCAAUGAAAGCCCACUUCAUCUUCAUUGUCACAGUCCCACUCCUCUAAUGGAUCUUUAGCAAUUGUGGGAGUGGCCUUAUGUUCGUCUUGGAUUUGGUUGUCUCCAUCGCCCUCCUCACCAAGUUCGGUAGAGCUUUGGAAGCCUACCCUCGUCUGCCUCUACCAAGUAAUUGUUAUGAUGAACUCAGCGAUAGAAGUUUCAGUGGGUUGUUGAAGUAUUCAUUGCACAGCACAGAAGAACUUUUUCAAGAAAGAGAAUGCUCACAUGAUACGGGCUUUUGGGGAGUUAGUUUAAGACAAGUGUCUUUUAGUUCAAAUUGAUCGACAUGUUUUAUGAAUAAUAAUUUUAGUUGCUGGCAUGUGUCACUUCUCUUGUUUGGUUGAAGAUUGUUCUGAAGUCAAGUAGUAUUAUUAUUUUGCAAUCACAGCCUUCGCAAUAUUAAUUAUAUGAGUGUUGUUCUG